GCAUAUCAAUAAGCGGAGGAAAAGAAACCAACAGGGAUUGCCCCAGUAACGGCGAGUGAAGCGGCAACAGCUCAAAUUUGAAAUCUGGCCCCCAGGGCCCGAGUUGUAAUUUGUAGAGGAUGCUUUUGGCGCGGUGCCUUCCGAGUUCCCUGGAACGGGACGCCAUAGAGGGUGAGAGCCCCGUCUGGUUGGACACCUAGCCUCUGUAAAGCUCCUUCGACGAGUCGAGUAGUUUGGGAAUGCUGCUCUAAAUGGGAGGUAUAUGUCUUCUAAAGCUAAAUACCGGCCAGAGACCGAUAGCGCACAAGUAGAGUGAUCGAAAGAUGAAAAGCACUUUGAAAAGAGGGUUAAAUAGUACGUGAAAUUGUUGAAAGGGAAGCGUUUGUGACCAGACUUGGGCCCGGUUGAUCAUCCACCGUUCUCGGUGGUGCACUCUGCCGGCCCAGGCCAGCAUCAGUUCGCGCCGGGGGAUAAAGGCUUCGGGAAUGUGGCUCCUCCGGGAGUGUUAUAGCCCGUUGUGUAAUACCCUGGUGCGGACUGAGGUUCGCGCUCCGCAAGGAUGCUGGCGUAAUGGUCAUCAGCGACCCGUCUUGAAACACGGACCAAGGAGUCGUCUUCGUAUGCGAGUGUUCGGGUGUCAAACCCCUACGCGUAAUGAAAGUGAACGCAGGUGAGAGCUUCGGCGCAUCAUCGACCGAUCCUGAUGUUCUCGGAUGGAUUUGAGUAAGAGCAUACGGGGCCGGACCCGAAAGAAGGUGAACUAUGCCUGUAUAGGGUGAAGCCAGAGGAAACUCUGGUGGAGGCUCGCAGCGGUUCUGACGUGCAAAUCGAUCGUCAAAUAUGGGCAUGGGGGCGAAAGACUAAUCGAACCUUCUAGUAGCUGGUUUCCGCCGA
rnacentral:rRNA from 2 species